AUUGAACGCUGGCGGCAUGCUUUACACAUGCAAGUCGAACGGUAACAGGCCUUCGGGUGCUGACGAGUGGCGAACGGGUGAGUAAUGCAUCGGAACGUACCCAGAGGUGGGGGAUAACGCAGCGAAAGCUGUGCUAAUACCGCAUGUGAUCUGAGGAUGAAAGCGGGGGACCGAGCAGCAAUGUUUGGCCUCGCGCCUUUGGAGCGGCCGAUGUCGGAUUAGCUAGUUGGUGGGGUAAAGGCCUACCAAGGCGACGAUCCGUAGCUGGUCUGAGAGGACGACCAGCCACACUGGGACUGAGACACGGCCCAGACUCCUACGGGAGGCAGCAGUGGGGAAUUUUGGACAAUGGGCGCAAGCCUGAUCCAGCAAUGCCGCGUGCGGGAAGAAGGCCUUCGGGUUGUAACCGCUUUUGGCAGGAACGAAACGGUGUCCGCUAAUACCGGGCGCUAAUGACGGUACCUGCAGAAUAAGCACCGGCUAACUACGUG
rnacentral:rRNA from 1 species